rnacentral:rRNA from 1 species
CUGGCUCAGGAUGAACGCUGGCGGCGUGCCUAACACAUGCAAGUCGAGCGUGAACCCUUAGAAUGAAACUCGGCGAAUGAAGAGGGGGAAAGCGGCGGACGGGUGAGUAACGCGUAGGCAACCCUGCCCCGUACAGAGGGAUAGCCUCGGGAAACCGGGAUUAAAACCUCAUAAUACCAUGGUAUCACAUGAUGCAAUGGUCAAAGAUUUAUCGGUAUGGGAUGGGCCUGCGUCUGAUUAGCUGGUUGGUGGGGUAACGGCCUACCCAAGGCAACGAUCAGUAGCCGACCUGAGAGGGUAAUCGGCCACAUUGGAACUGAGACACGGUCCAAACUCCUACGGGAGGCAGCAGUGGGGAAUAUUGCACAAUGGGCGAAAGCCUGAUGCAGCAACGCCGCGUGAGCGAAGAAGGCCUUUGGGUCGUAAAGCUCUGUCGGGAAGGAAGAUAAUGACGGUACUUCCCGAGGAAGCCCCGGCUAACUACGUGCCAGCCGCCGC